rnacentral:rRNA from 1 species
CCACACAUGCAAGUCGAGCGAGACCUUCGGGUCUAGCGGCGGACGGGUUAGUAACGCGUGGGAACGUGCCCUUCACUACGGAAUAGUCCCGGGAAACUGGGUUUAAUACCGUAUACGCCCUUCGGGGGAAAGAAUUUCGGUGAAGGAUCGGCCCGCGUUAGAUUAGAUAGUUGGUGGGGUAACGGCCUACCAAGUCGACGAUCUAUAGCUGGUUUGAGAGGAUGAUCAGCAACACUGGGACUGAGACACGGCCCAGACUCCUACGGGAGGCAGCAGUGGGGAAUCUUGGACAAUGGGCGCAAGCCUGAUCCAGCCAUGCCGCGUGAGUGAUGAAGGCCUUAGGGUCGUAAAGCUCUUUCGCCAGGGAUGAUAAUGACAGUACCUGGUAAAGAAACCCCGGCUAACUCCGUGCCAGCAGCCGCGGUAAUACGGAGGGGGUUAGCGUUGUUCGGAAUUA